GACGAACGCUGGCGGCGUGCCUAAUACAUGCAAGUAGAACGCUGAAGAGAGGAGCUUGCUCUUCUUGGAUGAGUUGCGAACGGGUGAGUAACGCGUAGGUAACCUGCCUUGUAGCGGGGGAUAACUAUUGGAAACGAUAGCUAAUACCGCAUAACAAUGGAUGACACAUGUCAUUUAUUUGAAAGGGGCAAUUGCUCCACUACAAGAUGGACCUGCGUUGUAUUAGCUAGUAGGUGAGGUAACGGCUCACCUAGGCGACGAUACAUAGCCGACCUGAGAGGGUGAUCGGCCACACUGGGACUGAGACACGGCCCAGACUCCUACGGGAGGCAGCAGUAGGGAAUCUUCGGCAAUGGGGGCAACCCUGACCGAGCAACGCCGCGUGAGUGAAGAAGGUUUUCGGAUCGUAAAGCUCUGUUGUAAGUCAAGAACGAGUGUGAGAGUGGAAAGUUCACACUGUGACGGUAGCUUACCAGAAAGGGACGGCUAACUACGUGCCAGCAGCCGCGGUAAUACGUAGGUCCCGAGCGUUGUCCGGAUUUAUUGGGCGUAAAGCGAGCGCAGGCGGUUUGAUAAGUCUGAAGUUAAAGGCUGUGGCUCAACCAUAGUUCGCUUUGGAAACUGUCAAACUUGAGUGCAGAAGGGGAGAGUGGAAUUCCAUGUGUAGCGGUGAAAUGCGUAGAUAUAUGGAGGAACACCGGUGGCGAAAGCGGCUCUCUGGUCUGUAACUGACGCUGAGGCUCGAAAGCGUGGGGAGCGAACAGGAUUAGAUACCCUGGUAGUCCACGCCGUAAACGAUGAGUGCUAGGUGUUGGAUCCUUUCCGGGAUUCAGUGCCGCAGCUAACGCAUUAAGCACUCCGCCUGGGGAGUACGACCGCAAGGUUGAAACUCAAAGGAAUUGACGGGGGCCCGCACAAGCGGUGGAGCAUGUGGUUUAAUUCGAAGCAACGCGAAGAACCUUAUCAGGUCUUGACAUCCCGAUGCUAUUUCUAGAGAUAGAAAGUUACUUCGGUACAUCGGUGACAGGUGGUGCAUGGUUGUCGUCAGCCCGUGUCGUGAGAUGUUGGGUUAAGUCCCGCAACGAGCGCAACCCCUAUUGUUAGUUGCCAUCAUUCAGUUGGGCACUCUAGCGAGACUGCCGGUAAUAAACCGGAGGAAGGUGGGGAUGACGUCAAAUCAUCAUGCCCCUUAUGACCUGGGCUACACACGUGCUACAAUGGUUGGUACAACGAGUUGCGAGUCGGUGACGGCAAGCUAAUCUCUUAAAGCCAAUCUCAGUUCGGAUUGUAGGCUGCAACUCGCCUACAUGAAGUCGGAAUCGCUAGUAAUCGCGGAUCAGCACGCCGCGGUGAAUACGUUCCCGGGCCU
rnacentral:rRNA from 1 species